rnacentral:piRNA from 1 species
UACAUUGUGACCGGAAAGUUGGCCUA